rnacentral:rRNA from 1 species
UACGAAGGGGGCUAGCGUUGCUCGGAAUGACUGGGCGUAAAGGGCGCGUAGGCGGAUGACACAGUCAGAUGUGAAAUUCCCGGGCUUAACCUGGGGGCUGCAUUUGAUACGUGUUGUCUAGAGUGAGGAAGAGGGUUGUGGAAUUCCCAGUGUAGAGGUGAAAUUCGUAGAUAUUGGGAAGAACACCGGUGGCGAAGGCGGCUCACUGGCCCGGUACUGACGCUGAGGUGCGAAAGCGUGGGGAGCAAACAGGG